UCGUCUGGCUCUCGUGACAGGGAGGCGGCGCUCCUUCCUCCGGCGACGCUCCUUCCUUCGACGGCGACCGGACGAGAUCUCGAACCGGACGAGAUCCUCUACCUCUCUCGCAUCUCCCCUCUCCCCUCUCCAAGAUCUUCUCCGGCGGCAACUGGAGAGAGCUCAGAUCGGGUUGUUUUCCUCAUCCAAGAUCUGAUCGCCUUCCUCGUCGCCGGCUCAAUCUCCUGCUGAAGUUGUUGUGGGGAAGCAAGGACGGCACGGAGGGAGCAAGGACGGGACGGCGGGCGGCGACAAGUACAGAGGUGAUUUCAUCUUAGUGCUGGCUGCUGCUCCAUCUAUUCGGCCAACGGCUCAACGUGGUUCAGUACUGCAGCUAUGGUAAAAGAAACAUCAAGAGCAUCUUGGUCCCAUUCCUAUGAGAGAGGUUUAGCCGAGCUACUAGUAGAGCACAAUGUUCCAGUCUACAGAGGUCAGAAUGGUUGGGUAGCAGAAGGGUGGAAGAGCAUCGUAUCAAAAUUCAAUCUCAAGUUUCCAUCUGCUCAGUUCACAAAGCAGCAGAUCCAGGAGAAAGAAAAGGACAUGAAAGCAAAUUACAAAGCAGUUCGAGAUGCUCGAAAACAGAGUGGUACAGGCUGGGAUGAUUCGCUGAAUAUGAUAAUUGCCGAGCCAAUAAUCUGGGAAAAACUGAAGAAGGACUAUCCAAGGGUGAAGAGGUAUGAAGGAAAGCCAUUUUUGUUGUUCCCUAUACUGGCUUCACUCUAUGAAGUUUGCAUGGAGCAGGUAGUAUUGCUACAGGAGAUCUGAACUUUCUAUCAAUUCCUAGUGUGGACCUUACAAGUGAUGUUGUUUCGCCCACCGACUCGUCUACAAAUCAACAUGGAAUGGUAAAUCCCUUCUCUACCACUCAUGAUGCUGGUCAGUCGUCUAAUAUGCAUGGUCAAGAGGCUGAACCGACAACAAGUGCUAGCUCUGGACAGAAAGUAGAUGAGCCUGUGAAGAAGAAAAGGAAACAGAGUCAGAUAGCUCAAGUACUUGAAGACUACGUGGACUUUAAAAAGCAACAAAGUCAGACAUUUGUCGAAGAAAUGAAGGAACCGAAGCAAAAAGACCAGUUCACCAUUGCAAGUUGUGUGGCAGCACUAGAAACAAUAGAGGAAGAGGAACUUUCAAUUGCAGAGAAGUCAAAGGCGCUGCGGCUUUUCAAAUGCCAGCUCAAUCGAGAGAUUUUUCUCAAUACAAAGGACCCAAUCCUUCGGACUUUUUGGUUGAAAGAAGAAAUCUCGGCGAUGGAGAAAGCAUAAGACAGGGAUGAUCCACCAGAGGAGGAGUAGAAGAAAGCCAUGCAGAAAAGCUCAUGGACAUGUCCCCAGCGAACUGUUUUCUUCGAUUUCAUGUUAAAAACUUCUAUGCAACUCAAGUUUGAUUGAUGCUAUCUGGCUUGGUGCAAUUUAGAUAAUUGACAUGUAUUAAUUAUUGUUGCAAGAUGUUUCUUUUUGUAAGAUUUGUUGCAAGACUUUCUACCUUUUUAAUUAAUUCUGCCUGGAGAUGUAAAGAUUGGUUGAAUAUGUUGUGUAUUUCGAAUUAUAAGUAUUUCUUGAUAUUUCUGUAUUAA